rnacentral:rRNA from 1 species
AGAACGAACGCUGGCGGCAUGCCUAAUACAUGCAAGUCGAACGAACACUUCGGUGUUAGUGGCGCACGGGUGCGUAACGCGUGGGAAUCUGCCCUUGGGUUCGGAAUAACAGUUGGAAACGACUGCUAAUACCGGAUGAUGACGAAAGUCCAAAGAUUUAUCGCCCAGGGAUGAGCCCGCGUAGGAUUAGCUAGUUGGUGAGGUAAAGGCUCGACCAAGGCGACGAUCCUUAGCUGGUCUGAGAGGAUGAUCAGCCACACUGGGACUGAGACACGGCCCAGACUCCUACGGGAGCAGCAGUAGGGAAUAUGGACAAGUGGGCGCAAGCCUGACUCCAGCAAGUCGCCGCGUGAGUGAUGAAGGUCCGUUAGGGUUAGUAAAGCUUACUUUACCGAGACUUGAA